rnacentral:rRNA from 1 species
CCUACGGGGGGCUGCAGUGGGGAAUUUUGGACAAUGGGGGCAACCCUGAUCCAGCCAUGCCGCGUGCGGGAAGAAGGCCUUCGGGUUGUAAACCGCUUUUGUCAGGGAAGAAAUCUUCCGAGCUAAUACCUUGUGAGGAUGACGGUACCUGAAGAAUAAGCACCGGCUAACUACGUGCCAGCAGCCGCGGUAAUACGUAGGGUGCUAGCGUUGCUCGGAGUUAGUGGAGGUGGAGGGUGAACAGGCGUGUGAAAUCCCCGGGCUUAACCUGGGAACUGCACUUGUGACUGUACGGCUGGAGUACGGCAGAGGGGGAUGGAAUUCCGCGUGUAGCAGUGAAAUGCGUAGAUAUGCGGAGGAACACCGAUGGCGAAGGCAGUCCCCUGGGCCGGUACUGACGCUCAUGCACGAAAGCGUGGGGAGCAAACAGGAUUAGAUACCCCAGUAGUC